rnacentral:rRNA from 1 species
UCAGGACGAACGCUGGCGGCGUGCCUAAUACAUGCAAGUCGAGCGGACAGAUGGGAGCUUGCUCCCUGAUGUUAGCGGCGGACGGGUGAGUAACACGUGGGUAACCUGCCUGUAAGACUGGGAUAACUCCGGGAAACCGGGGCUAAUACCGGAUGGUUGUUUGAACCGCAUGGUUCAGACAUAAAAGGUGGCUUCGGCUACCACUUACAGAUGGACCCGCGGCGCAUUAGCUAGUUGGUGAGGUAACGGCUCACCAAGGCGACGAUGCGUAGCCGACCUGAGAGGGUGAUCGGCCACACUGGGACUGAGACACGGCCCAGACUCCUACGGGAGGCAGCAGUAGGGAAUCUUCCGCAAUGGACGAAAGUCUGACGGAGCAACGCCGCGUGAGUGAUGAAGGUUUUCGGAUCGUAAAGCUCUGUUGUUAGGGAAGAACAAGUGCCGUUCAAAUAGGGCGGCACCUUGACGGUACCUAACCAGAAAGCCACGGCUAACUACGUGCCAGCAGCCGCGGUAAUACGUAGGUGGCAAGCGUUGUCCGGAAUUAUUGGGCGUAAAGGGCUCGCAGGCGGUUUCUUAAGUCUGAUGUGAAAGCCCCCGGCUCAACCGGGGAGGGUCAUUGGAAACUGGGGAACUUGAGUGCAGAAGAGGAGAGUGGAAUUCCACGUGUAGCGGUGAAAUGCGUAGAGAUGUGGAGGAACACCAGUGGCGAAGGCGACUCUCUGGUCUGUAACUGACGCUGAGGAGCGAAAGCGUGGGGAGCGAACAGGAUUAGAUACCCUGGUAGUCCACGCCGUAAACGAUGAGUGCUAAGUGUUAGGGGGUUUCCGCCCCUUAGUGCUGCAGCUAACGCAUUAAGCACUCCGCCUGGGGAGUACGGUCGCAAGACUGAAACUCAAAGGAAUUGACGGGGGCCCGCACAAGCGGUGGAGCAUGUGGUUUAAUUCGAAGCAACGCGAAGAACCUUACCAGGUCUUGACAUCCUCUGACAAUCCUAGAGAUAGGACGUCCCCUUCGGGGGCAGAGUGACAGGUGGUGCAUGGUUGUCGUCAGCUCGUGUCGUGAGAUGUUGGGUUAAGUCCCGCAACGAGCGCAACCCUUGAUCUUAGUUGCCAGCAUUCAGUUGGGCACUCUAAGGUGACUGCCGGUGACAAACCGGAGGAAGGUGGGGAUGACGUCAAAUCAUCAUGCCCCUUAUGACCUGGGCUACACACGUGCUACAAUGGACAGAACAAAGGGCAGCGAAACCGCGAGGUUAAGCCAAUCCCACAAAUCUGUUC